GUUUCCCAGUCACGAUAACCGCUGUAGGACGUGGGUGACUGCGAAAAGCUACGGGGAGCCGUCUACCAGGCUUCGAUCCGUAGAUGUCCGAAUGAGGAAACUCGGCAUCCGUCAUGGGAUGUCACUGUGGGGUGAAUCCAUAGCCCCACAAGAGGGAACCGGGGGAAUUGAAACAUCUCAGUACCCCGAGGAAAGGAAAGCAAACGCGACUCCCCGAGUAGUGGCGAGCGAAACGGGAAGUUAUGGCUAAACCGUGCCGGCGCAACAGCCUGAUGGCGUUGCCGGCGCGGGGUCGUGGGACGUCAAGACGCUGCAUCAGAAGCGUCACGGAGUUACAAAGUUGCUGUGUAGCAGAACGGUCUGGAAAGGCCGGCCACAGCGGGUAACAGCCCCGUAUGCGAAACGCACGCAACCUUCGAGACCCAUCCCAAGUAGCGCCGGGACCGAGCAAACCGGCGUGAAUCUGCGGGGACCACCCCGUAAGCCUGAGUAUUCCUUGGCGACCGAUAGUGAACCAGUACCGUGAGGGAAAGGUGAAAAGAACCCCGGGAGGGGAGUGAAAUAGUCCCUGAAACCGUUGGUUUACAAACAGUCAGAGCGUCGUCACGGGCAACCGUGGCCGCGAUGGCGUGCCUUUUGAAGAAUGAGCCUACGAGUUACGGUUAGUGGCAAGGUUAACCCGAGAGGGGUAGCCGGAGCGAAAGCGAGUCUGAACAGGGCGUUCAGUCGCUAGCUGUAGACCCGAAGCCGAGUGAUCUUGCCAUGGGCAGGUUGAAGCGGGGGUAAGACCCCGUGGAGGACCGAACACACGUCAGUUGAAAAUGGCGGUGAUGACCUGUGGUAAGGGGCGAAAGACCAAUCAAACUCGGCGAUAGCUGGUUCUCCUCGAAAUGCAUUUAGGUGCAGCGUCAUGCGUUCAGUGUCGGAGGUAGAGCACUGGAUGGGUUAGGGGGCCACAAGCUUACCGACCCCAGCCAAACUCCGAAUUACGGCACUCCAGAGCAUGGCAGUGAGACCACGAGGGAUGAGCUUCGUUGGUCGAAAGGGAAACAGCCCAGAUCAUCAGCUAAGGCCCCUAAUUCAGGACUAAGUGUAAAACGAUGUGGAUUUGCCCAGACAGCCAGGAGGUUGGCUUAGAAGCAGCCAUCCUUGAAAGAGUGCGUAAUAGCUCACUGGUCGAGUGAAUCUGCGCGGACAAUUCAACGGGGCUCAAGUCCUGAGCCGAAGCUAUGGAUUCCGGCGCGAGCCGGAGUGGUAGAGGAGCGUUGAUGGUGCGGCGAAGCGACGGGAGAACCCGGCGUGGAGCGCCAUCAAGUGAGAAUGUAGGCAUGAGUAGCGAGAGUGGGGUGAGAAACCCCACCGCCGUAAGCCCAAGGGUUCCUGGGGAAGGCUAAUCCUCCCAGGGUGAGUCGGGAGCUAAGACGAGGCCGCGAGGCGUAGUCGAUGCACAACUGGUCGAUAUUCCAGUACCGCUGUACGCGCGCAAAGCUCAAUUCCAGCAACGUGGGGGCUGCCUUCGGGCGAACCUGCCGCGUUGGAUGCGGGUAACUGAAGGGGGACGCAGGAGGAUAGGUGAUCCGGGGCGAUGGUUGUCCCCGGGUAAGUGCGUAGGAGGACUGCGACGAGAGUUGCGGUCAACACUCCGAGACACGAUGCCGAUCGGAUUUCCGAGAAGUCACUAAUUCCAGGCUGCCAAGAAAAGCCCAGCAGUGAGUGUGUGCGGCGCCCGUACCCCAAACCGACGCAGGUGGGCGGGUAGAGAAUACCAAGGCGAUCGGGAGAACUAUGGUUAAGGAACUCGGCAAAAUGCCUCCGUAACUUCGGAAGAAGGAGGACUCAUGUAGGGUGAGGGGACUCCGCGUCCCGCAGCCCGAAUGAGUGGCACAAAGCAGGGGGUAGCGACUGUUUAACAAAAACACAGCAGCGUGCGAAGCCGCAAGGCGCUGUAUACGCUGUGACGCCUGCCCAAUGCUGGAAGGUCACGAGGAACGGUUAGCCGCAAGGCGAAGCUGUGAAUCUAAGCCCCAGUGAAUGGCGGCCGUAACUAUAACGGUCCUAAGGUAGCGAAAUUCCUUGUCGGGUAAGUUCCGACCUGCACGAAUGGCGUAACGACUUCCCCGCUGUCUCAACCGUAGACCCGGCGAAAUUGAAGUACGAGUAAAGAUGCUCGUUUGCUGCGGAAGGACGGAAAGACCCCGUGGACCUUUACUAUAACUUGAUGUUGUACUUAUGUUGUCAUGGUCGUCUGUGUUCAAUUGUGUGUUUUUGUCUUUGUUGUUACUUAUGUUGUACUUAUGUUGUGUUAUGGUCUGUGUUGUACUUAUGUUGUACUUUUGUUGUUACUUAUGGUCUGUGUUGUGUAUGUUUUUGUCUUUGUAAAAGUGGAAGACACGUAUUACGCCUUCUUCCUGCAGAUUCCCCGGUGUGUCGGACCGGAAAAAAUCUGGGGGGAUGGCCGGAGCUACGGGGUGGCCAGGAGUAAAAAUCUACUGGCAUGGGAGAGCUUCGGGGUGGCGGCCUGUCCGGUCAGUUCCCAUUGGGCGGACCGUGCCAUCCACUCGGGCGCCGCGGUUUACGAUCCGGAGAAAAAGACGUGCUUUCUUUUCUACACCGGCGUGGGGAGCAAGCGGCAGGGGGUGGGGCUGGCCCGAAGUCAAAACAUGGAAGCAUGGACCAUGGACAAGGAUAUUCUCCUCGAGUACCCGGAUCGGUGGGCGCCCCAGGCCCGGGAGCAGGCUUUAUCGUCUUCGUUGGAUGGUAAGACUUACCAAUUCCUUCCGGGGGGCGAUCCGUACGUCUUUCCAGAGAAAGUGGAUGGAUACUACUGGAUGUGGGUCCAAUCCCAGGUUUUCUACGAUUAUGAGAACUUCGAGGACGGAGGGCUGUUACUC
rnacentral:rRNA from 1 species